AAGUCGUAACAAGGUCUCCGUUGGUGAACCAGCGGAGGGAUCAUUACUGAGUACUACACUCUCUACCCUUUGUGAACUAUUAUACCUGUUGCUUCGGCGGCGCCCGCAAGGGUGCCCGCCGGUCCUCAUCAGAAUCUCUGUUUUCGAACCCGACGAUACUUCUGAGUGUUCUUAGCGAACUGUCAAAACUUUUAACAACGGAUCUCUUGGCUCCAGCAUCGAUGAAGAACGCAGCGAAACGCGAUAUGUAAUGUGAAUUGCAGAAUUCAGUGAAUCAUCGAAUCUUUGAACGCACAUGGCGCCUUCCAGUAUCCUGGGAGGCAUGCCUGUCCGAGCGUCGUUUCAACCCUCGAGCCCCUGUGGCCCGGCGUUGGGGAUCUGCCACGGCAGGCCCCUAAAACCAGUGGCGGACCCGAAGGGCCCUCUCCUUUGCGCAGUAGCAUUCGCCUCGCAUCGGGAGUCCUCGGCGUCCUGCCUCUAAACCCCCCACAAGCCCGCUUCGGCGGCACCAAGGUUGACCUCGGAUCAGGUAGGAAUACCCGCUGAACUUAA
rnacentral:rRNA from 1 species